rnacentral:lncRNA from 1 species
GGGGGAUGUGCCUGGGCUGUGGGAUGGAAAUCCUGUGAAAUCAGAUUGUUAUGAUCAUUAUACAACUACAGAUGUGAUAAAUUCAUUUGAGUAAUAAAAAAAAAUGGAGAAGAAAAAAAAAAAUAAAUAAAUAAACUCUUUGGCUGCCCUAUCCUAUUGUCACAUAUUGAUACCCACUUCACUAAAUGUGCUUAGUUUAGCCACCAUCUCCUUUCCCUGUGGUAGGUGCUUAGUUAGAUGUUUUUGUUCUAACCAAGGGCAGGAUUUUGAAUGUGUCCCUAUUCAACACCAUCUUGUUAGAUUCGGGCCAUUGAGCUCUGUUUAUAUCCUGAUUCUCUCAUCCAUUCUAUUAGUUCUUCUCAGCUUGAAGUCCUCUUAGUCUUUCCCUAAACCACACCCCUUUCCUUCAUGGUCUGGCACUGCUUCCUCAAUCCUUCUUUUUUUUUUUUUUCUGCUUUUUAUUUAGGGCCGCACCUGCAGCAUAUGGAAGUUCCCAGGCUAGGGAUCGAAUCAGAGGUACAGUCACAGACACAGCUCAGAUUUGGCGUGUUGCUAUGACUGUGCUGUAGGCCAGCAGCUAUAGCUCCAAUUAGACUGCUGUCAUGGGAACUUCCAUAUGCUGAUGCAGCUCUAAAAAAGACAAAACAAAACAAAGAAACAAGUCCAUAAUAUUUUUUUCACUGGAGACACUUUAACUUCUUAUACAUGUAACCUUUUUUUUUUUUUUGGUCAUUUUAGGGCUGCACCUGCGGCCUAUGGAGGUUCCCAGGCUAGAGGUCCAAUUGGACCUGUAGCCGCCGGCCUACACAAGAGCCAUAGCAAUGUGGGAUCCGAGCAGCGUCUGCAACCUACACCACAGCUCACAGCAACACCGAGCAAGGCCCACUGAUCGAGGCCAGUGAUCGAACCCACAUCCUCAUGGAUGCUGGUUAGGUUUGUUAACCAUUGAGACAUGAUGGGAGCUCCUGCAUGUAACAUUUUUGAAGGAGUAAAGAUUCUACUUUGUAAAGAAAAUUUGAAAAUUUGAAGUUAAUUUCAUUUAAAUUAAAUACACCAAGUCUCAUCCAAUCUCAUCUCUCUCAAACAUCAGAAGGAUAACUUUCAAGUAAACUUUUUCUUUACUUGCUAUAAUAUACUUUUCUUUGGUGAUUGAAAAAAUGCAAACUUUGUGAACAUAUUGCCAGAAAAUUGAUGCCAUUUUUGUUAUUUCAAAAGCUUCACUGGAUUAAAAACAAGCAUGUUAUAAAAACUAUGGUUUAGUACUAUCCAGUGUUUAUAAAUUGAUGCAUUUGUUUAAUUACAUUUUAUUUAUUUGCAAACUUACAUACCUGCUUAUAAUCAGAGAGUAGAGGACAAAUGUAUUAACACACUUGUGCGCGCACACACACACUCCCAAAUUAUUCAGUGGUUAUAUACCUUCACAUAUUCACAUUUUUGUGUUCCUUAUUUUUUCCUGUAAGAUUUUGUUUUGACAUAAAAAGGCAUAUACUUUUGUAAAUUAAAAAUUUCCCCAAAGCUUUCUUUGUGAUAGUGAAAAAUGGAAAUAAAUACAAUAUCUAUCAAUAAGGGAAUGAGUCCAUAAACUAAAAAGGACACAUAAACAAAAGUAGGCAAUGGGAAAAGAUUCUUGUGGCCAUUUUCAAGGCUGAUCGACAUGCAGGUUUCCUGUGAGGUUGAAUAGCGAGAUAAGCUAAUUUCCUGCAGGAGCAAUGUGAUAAAUAACAACAUAUAAGUUCUUUGCUUUCCCUAGCUUUCCCUAAAAUGAAAGCGGAGAGAAAAAGUGUCUUACAGAACAUAGCACUUCUUUUUUUUUUUUCUAUUUUUAAAAAUUUUAUUGGAAUAUAGUUGACUUACAAAGUUGUGUUAAUUUCAGGCAUACAGCAAAGUAAAUCAGUUAUAUAUAUACAUAUAUACAUUCCUUUUCAGAUUCUUGUCCCAUAUAAGUUAUUACAUAGUAUAAAUUAAGAAAAAAGUAAAUUCUCAGUUUUAAUUUUCUUCCCUCAAACCUCCAAGAGAAUGGUCAAUGGUGACCGGUGUAUAUCAGUCUCUGCCUCCCCUGCCUGGUCCCUUCCCUGUCAUCGAUGCCAAGAACCAGAGAGCGAUGUGCAGGCUUCAGAGAAACUCGCUGUGAUAUUGACAGUGGUGGUAAUUUCUCCUCAUUGCCCCAUUGUGGUUUGUGUAUCUGGCUGCAGUACAUCCUUUUUCAAAGCUGUGUAGUCGGUUUCCGUGGGACUGUUUGUCCUGUGACGUUACUGGAGCUCGUUUAUCUGGAGAUGAGCACGCAGUGGCCUCAGGAAACACAGCCGGCUUCACUGGGCGACGCAUGGCACAGGAAGCAAUGGGGAGGGGGAACAUUUUUCUCUCUGUCUAUUUUUCAUAAUGCUUAAAAAUGAAAGUGUUUAUAAUUGCAAGGUUUGUUUUUGAUGAAGGGAAGUGUUUUGCUUGUUUUUCAGUUUUACUAAGCAGCUUAUCAAAGUUAGUAAGCAGUUUUCUUAGGGACAGCCCUUUUCCCAUUCUUCUGUCUUAUUCACUAAUGUGGACGAUCCUCUAUGAUCAUAAAAUGACUGAGGUCUUCUAAGAGAGAAAGUGGCGCAGAAUAAGGCAUACCAUCUAAUUCUGUAAGAAACCUCAAGCAACGAAUUAACUCCAGGACAGAUAGGGAGCAGAAAUGGUACCAGAAAUGGUAUCAGAAACCCCGGUGUGUGAAAUUCAAAUGGAAACAGGCAGAAAACUCUAUUUGGAGUUCAUUUUUUAUACUUAUCCUAGGAAUAUUUUCAUGGUUCAAAACCGAUAUUUGCUAACUACCUAAAUACAUGUUAGACUAUCUAUAAACAUUCACAAAAUAUGUCUAUAAUCAUCAGGUACGCACUGUAGUAUGGGUUUUAUUAGAGUUUUACGUAGACCACAAGUUUUGUGCUUUUGCAGGUACACUUUGAUUUAUAUCUUCUCUGUGAGAAGAAAUGAGGGGGAUGUGUGUGUGUGAAAUGUAUAGAUAAGAGAAAAGGAAAAAGAAGUGAGACAGAGAGAGCCUCUGCCUGUGGUAUUGGUUGGCACCAGUUUCAAAAGCCAACUACCCCAAUUUAGAGAAUUUUCAUGUAGGACUAAUUAAAUUACAAGCUAAUUGGGCAGGAUCGGUGUUAAGCCUACUGACGGAGCUUCAUAAAUAUUCAUAUUAAUGCUGAUAGAAGAUGUUCUGUUCCCAAAUUUCUAAACCACGUGCCUUGCGAAUGUUGGAAAGUCAGUGUUGUUCUGCUCCUGACCUUUUCUGUCCCUUUUAAGGAUAAUUCUUUCUCGGGUUAACUGACAUAUAGACCCGCAGCAAUACAGCCCCUCUGUAAAUUGAGGAAUUUUUUCUGUGUGCAGUGCUCUGAAAAUGGCAGGCUUUUCAGAAUCACAGCCUCUAGACUGUUCAUGGCAAACUACGUAAGCAACUUGCCUCUAUCACAAGAUUCCUUGCCUGCAAUUUACACUUUACUAAGAGCACAUGUUAAAAAUUGUUGGCAAUUCCUCUAGCCUUUUUGGAAACAAAAUGGUCUUCUCAAAGUAUAGCUUUGGUGCAUUAAGUGUUACUCUGGCUUAAAUUAGUUAAUGUGCAGAUUAAAAAUCGGACACAUACCCGGAAGUAACUCAGGACUGGGGAAUCACCGUCUUGCUCCUUGAUUGCCCUUUGUGUAAAACAGUGUAGUAAAGCUGUUUGUGUGUGGCUAGCAACUGUAUCUAAGCCUUGGGUUUAUAGGAAAAUAAAGUGCACUCCAGUUCCAUGAGCACACAUAUGAGUAUUGACCUUGAUUCAUAGUAUUUGCUUCAAACCAUACUCCAAAUAAACAGCCUUUUAAAAUUUAAUUUCUCCCACAUAUCUAUAUGGUUAUUCUUAGUUCAAAAACAAAUAUUUAAAUGCUAGCCACUCAAGCAUAUGCCAAGUAAAUUUCAUUUUUUCCCCCUACAGGGCUGGAUUGAUUCUCAGAUACAUGUUACAUGAGCUUUAUUUUGGUUAACUUGUUUCUUUUUAUAAAAACUUGUGUAUUAAAUUUAUAAAUGUGGGAGACUAUACACUGUUCUAUAAUCCCAUCCUGAGUUUCAGUCUCAGCGAAAACUUUUUUCUCUUUGUUCAGCAUUCUUUUUAGUGUGUUGGAGUGACAGCUGCACCUUAUCUGAAAUAUCAAUUAAUAUAAAAACCUUUUACAUUCUCAAUAAACAAUCACUUACCAUCUUCAUAUCUUCAUAUUCGUCAGUAGUCAACAUUCAGACUUUAGUGGUUGACAAAUAUAUAAGUGCUUACUAUAGACCGUGUCCUUUUCUCCCUUCUGGAGAAGAAGGGGUAGAAUUAUAAGUGCAUCAAAUAUUAUAGCGGAGAGGUAGGAGGGGUGCCUUAGGAUCAAUAAGAGGAGAUAUAAAUGUAAUAGUAGAGGUGGGUGGGGAAGAGGUGGGGGAUGGUGUUAGGACAGGUAACUUUUCUAGAAUUUACCUGGAAGUUGUGGCAUGUGGGGUUCAGGGGUGGGAAAAAGUGGAGAAAUGAGAUAGAGUCAGAUAGUACAAGAUUUGCUAUUAACUCAAGGACAGUUGCCUUUUUUUUUCUUCUUCUUCUUUCUGGCUGUGGUGUGCAGCAGCUUGAUGUGGGAUCUGAGUUCCCAGACCAGGGAUUCAAUCUGGGCUAGAGUGGUAAAAACUCAGUCUUAAUCACUAGACCACCAGAGAACUCCCCUCCGGGAGAGUUUAGAACCCACUGUGGUUGGCUGGUGAAGGAUGGAGCACAGAAGGGCAUGUGAUGAUGUGCAAGGCUGGUUAAGAAGUCAUGUCUGUAGUGAAGGCAAAGGGUGGGGAUGACCUGGAUUAGGAAACAAAAACCAUUCUGUCUUUUACCUGUGAAAUAAUUCUUGGCCUUGUCUCCCCUCCAUGCCAGGUUCAGAUUCCCCAUUAUACGGCAAGAGAUUAGACAGACAGUCGUGCUUCUCUUUCUAUUUUAUUGUAACUUGAUUGUUCUCUGCAAGAUGGGCCACAUCUCUCAGAUACCAUGUCAGGAAUGUAUUUAUGUAAAGUCAGGACACCUGCUCCUUCUAGCCAUCUUUUCUCUGGUCCUGGUUCUCAGGCCUCAGGUCCUCUCUCUCCAAGGUCACUGCACAUCAUUCACUAUUGCUGUUCCUAUCCUGCCUUUUUUUUCCCAUUAGUUUUAUUUUGCAGUCGAGUUUUUUUUUAGGAAUGAUCCCCUAAUUCUUUGGAUCUCUUGAAAUACACCUAGUUAAUGGUGGAGAGCUCUCAGGAUGUAAGCAUAUCUUUAAACCCCAGUAGUAGAAGAGUUCUUUGCAUAUCUAAAGGACCAACUCCAUGACAUCUUUGAAACUGAAGAGUUUCUCAUAGAAAUACAUAUGAACAGUUCUUUUUUUUUUCUUUUAAAAGCAGCAAAAAACUGAAAAUAGUAACAUUAUUCUGUGAAUUAGUAGUUGAAAUGUGAGGAUUUAAAAAGCUUUUACUGGUUUAAAAAACAAACAAACAAACAAACUGUGAAGUCAGUCCUGAGCCCUUUUAUACCUUUUUUGAAGGAAAGGUUCCAUGAAACGUGUCUCUUUCCUGUCAUCUUAAAUCUGCUUUUCUCUUGUUCUCCUUUUAGUUGUCCUUCUCUCUUGCAAAACGCAUUCUCAUACGAGCCUUGCGGUGCCUACGAGCCACUUCUCUCCAGUACUCAUGCCCUAAAUCCCUCCUGGGGCCCUUCUUGCCUCAGUGCCUUUGAUUAUCAUUUGGGAUUCAGGUCUACAAAGCUUUUAAGCACCUUUGUCUUAAAUCACAGGGAGGUACUUCAGUCAGCAGCUAAGGAUUACAUGUGCAAAAGGCAUGCUCGAUGGUCACUGGCAACAGCUGUGGGAUGAGAACAGACCUAUAAAGAUGUCAGUGCUGAAAUAGCGGUUCUCUAUGGGAGGAGGAGAAGAGUGGGUUCCCUUUGUCCCCAAUCCGAUUGUCUUGAUUACUUCCAGUGCUUUCCCCCAGGACUAAAUAUUUGAUCUUACUUAGACUAUUGCAUUACCCUCUUACUCAAUUUCCUUACUUGUUCUCUCCCUCCUUCAGUCUCAUCCUCAUGUAGUAUUAUAAAAAACAGUAAAUAGGUUACUUUGUAUCACUUUCUGCUCAAAGCCAUCCAAUGGCUUCCCAUAUCCUUUAGAGUCAAAAUCUCAAGUUCUUGCCCUGUCUUUUAAAGGUCAGUGUGAUCUGAUCUCUGCCAUCUACCUCCUAGAGAUCUGACCUCUUCUCAAGCCACCUUCCCCUCACCCACUCACUCCCA